AGAGCAACACGAAGGCGGAGAAGCUUCAGUUCCUCCUGAAGAGAAUGGAAAACCAGGAGCGAGCGAGGAAGAGCCGCGAGGAGCAGAGAGAGAGAGAGCUGCAGUUCAAGAGGGAGCAGAGAGAACGAGCCAAUCAGGGAGCUCGCCCGUUCUUCCUCAAGAACUCGGAUAAGAAGAAGCUGCAGCUGGCGGAGAAAUAUCAGAG